rnacentral:rRNA from 1 species
AAAUUGAAGAGUUUGAUCAUGGCUCAGAUUGAACGCUGGCGGCAGGCCUAACACAUGCAAGUCGAACGGUAACAGGAAGCAGCUUGCUGCUUUGCUGACGAGUGGCGGACGGGUGAGUAAUGUCUGGGAAACUGCCUGAUGGAGGGGGAUAACUACUGGAAACGGUGGCUAAUACCGCAUAACGUCGCAAGACCAAAGAGGGGGACCUUCGGGCCUCUUGCCAUCAGAUGUGCCCAGAUGGGAUUAGCUUGUUGGUGAGGUAACGGCUCACCAAGGCGACGAUCCCUAGCUGGUCUGAGAGGAUGACCAGCCACACUGGAACUGAGACACGGUUCAGACUCCUACGGGAGGCAGCAGUGGGGAAUAUUGCACAAUGGGCGCAAGCCUGAUGCAGCCAUGCCGCGUGUAUGAAGAAGGCCUUCGGGUUGUAAAGUACUUUCAGCGGGGAGGAAGGUGUUGUGGUUAAUAACCACAGCAAUUGACGUUACCCGCAGAAGAAGCACCGGCUAACUCCGUGCCAGCAGCCGCGGUAAUACGGAGGGUGCAAGCGUUAAUCGGAAUUACUGGGCGUAAAGCGCACGCAGGCGGUCUGUCAAGUCGGAUGUGAAAUCCCCGGGCUCAACCUGGGAACUGCAUUCGAAACUGGCAGGCUUGAGUCUUGUAGAGGGGGGUAGAAUUCCAGGUGUAGCGGUGAAAUGCGUAGAGAUCUGGAGGAAUACCGGUGGCGAAGGCGGCC